rnacentral:lncRNA from 1 species
UCUCUGUCCAUAUCACCCAAACACAAGUAAGCCAAAUAAGCUGCAAAAAAGACCGACGCGCUCGAGAUCCACCUGCUGAGGCUGUAAACUGGACAAAAUGAUCACGCAAAUUAGUGAAAUCCACCAAAGAAAUACCAAUCCACGCGCGAACUAAGUCCCAAAGAGAUCCAGCAAAACUACAUGAGAGAAAUAAAUGAUGGGCCAAUUCGGCCGCUCCACAUCCAAAAACACAUGUGCCAGCUGUAGAAGACAAAACUCCCCGAGUGAC